rnacentral:lncRNA from 1 species
GUCAGAGGCCAGCAGACAAAGCUGGCCUCUACUAGGAUUUGGGGGAAACCUUAAUCCUUGGAAAUCCUUAAAAGGCUCCUUUAAGUGCACAGAGCCACCUAUGCCCACUCAGAAUACCCAGAUGUCCUGCUGCUUUGCCCCCUUCCCCUCUUAAAGUGACACCAUUUGGACAAUAAACUGGAUGGCCACCCAGAAUAGCUUCUCAGUCUCUACAGUCCAGCAGUUUAGGCUUCACUACUGGCUCCACCACCUACAAGCUGUGUGACCUUGAAUAAGUUACUUCACCUCUCUGUGCCCCAGAUGCCUGACCUCUUAAAUGAGGAGGAUGAUAGCAUCUACCUCAGAAGGUCCCAAGGAGUCACAUAGGACAGUGGCAUUCAAGACCCGGCAGAACCCCUGGCACACAGCAAGUGUCCCACUGUCACUGAGCAGGCCUCAGGCCCAGGACUGGAACGUUGAAGGAGAGUGUCUGUCUACUUCUAGCAGCAGAUGGGAGGUGCAGGGGCACCUGGCGACUCAAUGCCCACAUUCUGGGGACUCGCCAAGCUCGCUGGGGUCACAGAGGUAUGCAGAGUGGGUGCUCGGCCCCACCUACUCCACUGCUGCCCUUGCAGGCCAGGCUCCUGCUGUGUCCAGGUCCCGUGGGGCCGGUCCACAUUGCUUCUGUCCCCUGCAGGGUCAGAGGCCAGCAGACAAAGCCGGCCCUGAGACGCCAGGUGUGGGCAAGGGCCUGCGAGACAGACAGUCACCCAGUCCCGCCUGCCCCUGGCCAGCACGGCUUCACGUUCUGGCAGGAAGUAGAAACAGAAGGAAAAAUCGAUACAUUAAACUUCAUCAAAAUCAAAUAUUUUUGCUCUGCC